UGGGGGGUGGGAUUGUGUCACUUAGAGAUCUGUUUGUAUCCAUGUGCCAACAAUUUAAUGAAACAGAUUAUUAUUCAAAUUUCAUUGGCCUUAUCGAACUAAAUGUUAAAGAAUCUUUCCUGUGGUGAGUGUAUGAAUAUAUAGUCAGCAUUGCUUUCUAUCUGUUUUCCUAGCUUGUAAGUGGCUGUCCAUAGCAGAAAGACAAAUCCCAUAUUUGUCAUCUUUAUGAAUUAAUUGUUUGGGGGAGAAUGAUUGGACGCAGAAAGGUAAGUUAGUUAAGAGGGGAAGUUAGUAUUAGUCAUGAGAAAACACUGUGGGAUUAAGUCAAACCCAUACCCAGCCUACAUUGUUAUUGCCAAUAGUUUCCUCCAAAUCCAAUAAGUAAAAUCACUUAAAAAUCAAAAUCCCUAUUUUUUUAUGAAAAAGAACAACCAGUAAAAUGAAUUAAGGACUAAGUAUGAUAGAUAACAUCAUUUACAAACAAGACAUUAUGAGAGAUUUAGUCAUUUAGUGAAUGCAGAACAUUAACAUUGACUUUUAUUUAAAACAUCCCCACUGUCUAGAAACAUUAUGCUGUCUAGAAUGAAGAAAAAUGCAGUGAAGAGACCCCUGAUGUAAUGAGUUUUCAGAAUUACAGAGACAAAGAUGCAUAUCAGGAAGAUGACAGAAAUGGAUGGGAUAAUAUCACCACACAGUUGCAGGCAUCAUUUUAUAGUACAGACAAUUGACGUAUUUUCGGGAGAAAGAAUGAACGUGGCAUACGGCAUACCAAAAAUGAUCACUGAGGAGGUGAAGGCCACCACCAGGUCAGAAAAACAGGUAAAAUUCAGUGCCUUUGGUAAAGAUGUGGACACUAUUAUAGAUGCAACUAUGAUACAUGCCUUUUGCUUACAAAGCAAAUACGUAGCCAUCUCUUCUCGACAGUGGUUUCUCACUAUACCUUCAUAAACGAGAAGGAUAUGAUGAUCACUGGACGCAUCGUAGAUACUUCCCAGAAAGCUUCUUGCCAACAGAAAUCAACUUGGAGGCCCAUUUUAAUUUAAUUAUCCCUCCAACCUGCACCAACUUAGUUCCCGUGUU